GCCUAACACAUGCAAGUCGAGCGAGGGCCAUCUGGUGGCAACACCGGGUGGUUCCUAGCGGCGAACGGGUGAGUAACACGUGGGCAACCUACCCCUGACUCUGGGAUAACUCCGGGAAACCGGAGCUAAUACCGGAUAUGAGAUCCCUCCGCAUGAGGGGAUCUGGAAAGGACCUCCGGUCAGGGAUGGGCCCGCGGCCUAUCAGCUAGUUGGCGGGAUAACGGCCCACCAAGGCGACGACGGGUAGCCGGCCUGAGAGGGUGGACGGCCACACUGGGACUGAGACACGGCCCAGACUCCUACGGGAGGCAGCAGUGGGGAAUCUUGCACAAUGGGCGAAAGCCUGAUGCAGCGACGCCGCGUGAGGGAUGAAGGCCCUCGGGUUGUAAACCUCUUUCAGCAGGGACGAAGCGGAAGUGACGGUACCUGCAGAAGAAGCCCCGGCCAACUACGUGCCAGCCGCCGCCGUAACAC
rnacentral:rRNA from 1 species